rfam:Lactobacillus pobuzihii strain NBRC 103219 NODE_20, whole genome shotgun sequence.
AAAAAUUUUUGUAUAUUUCCUAAGACUCGGGUGGCGUAAGCCUUAAUUUCCUGGCGACCGGAAAAGAAUAAGUGGUCCUUCGUGUCUUAGUAGGUACGAAGUUUUUUUAUUUUAGGC